rnacentral:lncRNA from 1 species
UUCAUUUAAAAUUCAAUUAAAAUGCAGAGCCCCCCAGAGCGGUGGCUAGGACCCGGGCAGUGUGAGUGCCACUGAAAAUCAGCUCACGUGCCGCCUUCGGCCCACGUGCCAUAGGUUGUCUACUCCUGGUUUAGAGAGACAAUGAUAAAUGUACAAACUAACGAAUGGCAGAGAGUAGGUCAGUCAGGGCUCCUCUUUACCCACUCUCAUAAUGCAAGAACAACGGGACACGCGAUGAAGUGGAGGGAAGAAAAGGUAAAACUGACACGCGGACACUCAUGUACAUAACACGUAACUCCGCUGUAGAGCUCAUGGCCACAGAAUGUCAUUAGAGUUAUGAACUGUGAGGGGUUCAGAGGAGAAUUGGAGAAUCAGAUAGAUGGCCAGGACCUCCACAAUUGCAUGAGAGAGAAUGAAAAUACAAAAGGAAAUCUCCAAUGUUUGGAAGGGAUCUAAAUCCUCCUCCUCAGGGCACAAGCCACCCAGGCUCUAACUACCUGGAGUUAGGAAGAAAUUUUCCCCAAGGGCAAAUUACUCUGCACUUGUCCACUAGGUGGGUUUCUUGUCCCUUCCUCUGAAGCACCAGCCAGUUUCAGAGAGAGAAGAGGGGACUAGAUGGACACCUGGUCUGAUCUGGUCGGGUGUUUCCUGUGUUCCCAUUAGAGUGAAUCGAAAUGUGUCAGACACUUCACCUUGAAAGGCAACGUAAUCAAAGCCAAAUCUUGUGUUUUAACAGAGAGAGCUUAUCUGGAGAAUUACUCUUGCUGAAGUGAACGUGCUACGUAGGUGCAAAGAUGAGUUGCCAGGAAAUAUUCGUGAGCAGCAUGUCACCACAUGGAAGAUUAUGCUCUACUUCUGAAGCAAAUGACUCUUACAGUAACCACACACCCCUAACUGAAGCAAAGAGACAAACUGCAGAAGCAGCAAAGCGGAGAGCAAUGGAGAUUCUGAGAGAUGCCCUGAAGAAGAAGGACCGAGUGCUGAUGGAGAAGCCCCAGGAUCUGUUUUUUGGUGAUAGCAGAGAUCCCAAAUUCUGGAUGGAACGCCAUGCGAUACUGACAGAAGAGUUAGUUCGAGAUCUCAUCUCAGAGCUGGAAGUUGUGAAGUUUAAGGAGGAUCUAACCAGGAAAUAUAUUUAUGCAUAUGUUUAUUCAAAGUCUGGAGACAAAACAGUGUAUUUGUGCCCAGAAUUCUGGAAGGCUUCUACAUAUCUUGGAGAAGGGUCUCAGCCAGGGACUCUUAUCCAUGAAGUGUCUCACUUCCUGGGGAUACGAGAUAUCGACUAUUCCAAAGCCAGUAUCUAUGUUGCCUGCAGAGGGAAGUUGGUAAAAAGCAAAUCAGACCCCAGUGCCCCAGAUCUGAAUCCCCUUGGGAAAGCACUAUUAAAUGCUAACAACAUCACAGAUGAAUUUGAAAUUACCCUAAAUCACAAAGGAAGAUACGAGAAUGGAAAAUACACCUGCUGUGGGGAAAAAGCCGUGAACUCAGUUUGUGAGAGAGCUGUGCCUGAUGAGUUUCUUAUUCACUAUUUCAGGGAAAGUGAGAAGAGGAAGAACAUUGGUGAAAUUAUGGAGGAGUCAUUACUGCCCACAGCAAAGAGACUGGAGAGUCACGUAACCCAACUUAGAAAGAUGGCAGAUGAAAUUGAUGAAACUCAUAAAAAUGCUACAAUAGCAAAGGCUCAUGCAGUGACAAGUUCAAACAAAAAGAACGAGGUGGAGAAGAUUUUAAAGGAAUGUCAGGAUAUGCUGAAAUGUAUUGAGAAGGAACUUUCCAAAAUCACUAAAGAGAUUAAAAAACCGGGAGAGGACAGUUAUAUUGUUUUGUUAGCAGAACUGUAUGAAUGGAUAAGAAUUGGUGAAAUCCUGGCAGGAAGUGUUCCAAGCAGUUUAACAGCGACAACUGCUUUAUUUGCUGCUGCAAUUUUAGUGAAUGAUUCUAAGAAACCUAUGGAAGGUGAGAAACUUGCAGCUGAAAUCCGAAGAGAAGCUGCAAAAAUGGAAGAAGUCAUUAAAAUAGUAAAUAAGUUUUAUGGAUCAGUAAGAAGAUUAUAGCUAGGCAAAACAACACUGCUUAUUUGCAGCAUGAAAUGAUUCAGCUGAAAUCGUUUAGGUACCUUCUCUCUAAGAAAGUUCAGAAUCCAAAUAAGGUUUGAUUGACAAUCUAUUGGGGAAACAGAUCACAUGUAGAACCUGCUGUAACUGCCCUUUCUUUAGAAGCCUAAGAACACAUCCCUGUAAAUAAAAGGUUCCACACCAUGUCUGACA